GCCGGAGGGGGCGGGACAGCUCCUCCGGGGCCAGCGGGCACCAGGCUUGGGGGCUGAGGCCCAGCGGCCCGAGACCAACUGGGCUGACCGAGGCCGCCUCCCCGCCAGCCCUGGGGUCCACUGCCCGGGGAGCAGCUCCCUUCCCAGGUCAGACUCGGGCUUCAUCCUCUCUUGCCGCGCGCCGAGCGGUUUUCAACUCUCACUGCUAGAAUUCCUCCAACCACCCAGGAUAGCAGGACCGAGAUACAUGGCCACCCAUGACCCGGAGCGUCCACUUCCAGGGACAGGCAGUGGUGAUUGGCUUCGGUUGUCAUCUGUGCCAUCUGUCCAUGGUUCGAGAAGCUGCUGUUCACGUUUUGGGGAGGAUCAUGGUUUGAGGGCUCCCGUGGUAGAAUUUGGGGAGCUCUCAUAGGCAGAAGGCUGAGAAAAGUUGGUGCUGUGGGAAGUCAACUGGCAGCCGAUGGAGUCGGGACCCGGGAGGAAUGGAAAGGGAACCCAGAUAGGAAGCUACUGCAGUAGGCUCAGAGAGGUGAUGACGGCAGGGCUAAGACAGCGGCCUUGGGCGGUGACUGGGAAGAACGUUGAACACCGUGUUUGGGCUGAAGAAAAGAGCAAGGGAAGAGGGCUUUGACUCCUGAGUCUGAAAAAGGCACAGAUUCCUGCUAAAUCUUGAACACUGACGCCAGUCAAAGCCUCAUCUUCAGACCUGGGAGAAGGUGACAAUCGAAAUGAAAUGCUUUCAUGAGACGCAGGGCCAGUAAUUACAAGUAUUCAAUCCCCCUAGGCCCAGGGACUAUCGCGGAAGAGGUGGGCGUGUGAGAUUGUAAGGGCCAACUUUGAGGGAUAAAAUUAGAGUUUUUUUGUAAACAUUAAUAUCAAAGGCACACUGAGGCCAGGCAAGCGUCUGGCCCCUGUGUCGGAAUAACAAUUUUCCUGGACCACUGAUCUACUCUUUAAUAGAAGAUUGUAAAAGGUUAUACAAGGCGUAUGGAAAUCUUACUUCGUGGUCAAACUGAUUAAAAUUAGAUUUGUUUAUAAGGUUUUAUUAGCUUUAACAUUAAUAAUACCCCUAAAACAUUAAUAAGAGAUCAAAGAUUUUUGUUUACCUUUUAAGUAAACUACAGGAAAAAAAAA
rnacentral:lncRNA from 1 species